AGGCAGUUAGUCCAAAAAAAGACUCUUGAUUUCGGCUCAAAAGAUCGUGGUUUAAGUCCAUGACCGCCUU
rnacentral:tRNA from 1 species